GACAGAGGGUGCUAGCGUUGUUCGGAAUGACUGGGCGUAAAGGGCGCGUAGGCGGUUUUUCAAGUCAGAUGUGAAAGCCCCGGGCUUAACCCGGGAACGGCAUUUGAUACUGGAAGACUGGAGUACGAGAGAGGAAAGCGGAAUUCCUAGUGUAGAGGUGAAAUUCGUAGAUAUUAGGAGGAACACCAGAGGCGAAGGCGGCUUUCUGGCUCGUAACUGACGCUGAGGCGCGAAAGCGUGGGGAGCAAACAGG
rnacentral:rRNA from 1 species